rnacentral:misc_RNA from 1 species
CGACACCCACCACCCCACUCCAAGUGAGUGGGCUGAGUGAAACUGGCCAUCCGAAUGGGGCCACCACCCGGGACUUCGUGCGCCCUCGUGGUGGCAGAUUGGGUUGGCUGAAAUGGAGGGAACCUAUGGGCCGCCGUGGUGACACAGCCCGCGAUCAGGUGAUCCACCCGGGAGUAACAUCCCAGUUGGUCUCAAACGUGCGCGCGCUGUGCCUCCCAGUUGGUCCAGUUCCAAAGCAGGUCCCCUCCCCCCCACCCCCUUAGGGGGGCUGGCUGGGGGAAGGAAAACGUCACGC